rnacentral:lncRNA from 1 species
GGGCCCAAUAAAGGGAUUAAGUCCAUUAAUGAAACAAAGACAUUAAGUAAUAACCCAUGAGUUUUACCUUGAAAUCUUUAUGAGACUAGACAUGUUAUUCAUGUUCAUCGUUUUUGACAUUGAUCUAAUUUGGUACACUUGUUAAUAUUUUAGAGGACAUUGUUUUUAUAUAUGACUACUCACAGAAACAGUAGAUAACGACUUAAUUUCUCAACCAAAGAAAAACAAAAUUUUCAAAUUAAGACAACAUUAUAAGCUUGAAGGAUCGAUAGAAAAGGUUUAAGAGAGUAACGAAGAGUGAAUAAACAUAGAGGAGGCUUAAUAUAGUAACAAAGAGUAAUUAAAU